GGCGAGAUGGCCGAGCGGUCUAAGGCGCCAGACUAAGGAUCAGUCAACAUCUGUUGACAACCGUGGGAAUAACCUUCCUAAUCUGGUCCUCCGGGGCGUGGGUUCGAAUCCCACUCUCGUCA